GAAAGAGAGACCGAGAGAAAAGAGAGACAGAGAAAUAGAGAGGUAGAGAACGGAGAAGGAGAGAGAGAUCGAGAGAUCAAAAACUGCAAUUUGCAAUCAAGAAUGAAAAGAUGUCUCUCACUUCCUGUCAAAUUUCUUCAUCUAACUGUCCGCUAAUUUCAUUCCCUGGAAUAAGAAGAAGCAAGGAAGAUGAAUCGUCAAGAACGAAGAGGAGUCAAGAAUGAAAUAGAGGGGCAGAGAUAGAGAGAAGGGCGCCACCCAGAUCUUCUGCCAUCACCAUUUGGUUUUGGUUAAGGGAUACAGAGAUAGAAGAAGCAAGCAGAGUUUGUAGGUGCCAAGAGAGAAGAAAUAUCUAUGGCUGGCCAUUGCCUGUUCCCUCGCCAGACUUGCUGGUCUUUCUGCUGGAACAUCAUACACCCAGAUAGAGUCCGUAAGGCACAAAGAGACAGGCCACCGUAUACCUGUAACCAGUAAAGUUAUUGUUUUUGGCUUUUUCCUUUUCGUUUUCAAAUCUGGGGUUUGAAUAUGAUUUAGGUUUGAAUUUCUUGGUUGGAUUGGUUUAGAUUUAGCUAUUUCAAUUAGAUUUGGUUUUGACUUAGGCUUCCAUUAGCAUGCCACUGAUAGGUAAUUUGGCCAGUUGUUAAUUUUUAACAUUUUAAAUUAUUGUUGUGUUAGUUUUGGCUUGAAUUAGAUUGGUUUGGUUUUGAGUGAUCAUUUACGAAAUUCAUUACAAUUAGUAUUUUUUCUCUUUUGAAAAUUGAAACUACUAAGUUUUUGAAAUUGACAGCACUGAUCAACUUUACUAUGCCUAAGAUAUAAUCAACAUAUAAAUUUUAUUAUAUGCUUAUAAAUUGUUUGAUAAAAUUCUACUGUUUUUUUAUUCUAAAAUUUAUUUUUAUUGUUUAUAAUUUAAGUUUUAUGAUGUGUAUAAUUCUCCCAAUAGUACCUAAAUGAUACAAAUCAUUGGCAUCUUUCUCCUUCAGGUUUGUAUCAGUUUAUUUUAUAGUUUCUUUUUGUUUGUAUGGAAUCAAUAAUUUACUUCUUAUUGCAUAAUAAUUGUGUUAAUUUUAUAAUCAUUGUGAAACUGAGGGUGGGAGAGAGGGACUUACUUUUAAUGUGAUAUAGGUCAAAGCUUAAUGAAAGUUUGGGCAAUGAUGGAGUUAUUUUUAGGAGGAGCAUGUAAUUCAGCAACAUAAAUAUACCUCUGUUUGGAAGAAUCUCAACUUUUCAAUUAAAAUAGAGUGACAAUAUUUUGAAUAUGAUGAUUGUUUUUGCAAUAUCUCCUGUUUAAGGUUCUAAUUUUCCUUUUCUCAUACAGGUGGUGUGUACAUGGGAAAAAGGGACUUCGACUCUGAUAUAGAAUGCUUCGGGUUUUAUCUAAAUCUGGUGUUUUUAAUGACAAGGCACUGUUGACAGGCUUGAUUGUUCUGUUUCUAAACAUAAUAAUAGCUGUUUGUUCAGGAGGCAUUCUAUACUGUUGGCAUUGGAGUUUGGAUAAGGAAUGCAACUGAUGUCUAUUUUUCUUAAAUGGCACUCUGUUUUUGUUAGAGAGGUUCUGAGGGUCCCAUGUUCUAGAUUUUUGAUGAUUAUGUGGAAAUACGAUAUUGUUUUCUCUACAAGAUUCUAGAAACUAUCAUGUAGCUUUUUAUUUUUGUUGUUGCACUUGAUGUGAUUAAUCAGUGCUUACCUUUGGAAUCCUGA